rnacentral:rRNA from 1 species
UACGAAGGGUGCAAACGUUGCUCGGAAUUAUUGGGCGUAAAGCGCACGUAGGCGGCUUUGCAAGUCGGAUGUGAAAUCCCUCGGCUUAACCAAGGAAGUGCAUCCGAAACUGCAGAGCUUGAGUACUUAAGAGGAUCGCGGAAUUCCCGGUGUAGAGGUGAAAUUCGUAGAUAUCGAGAGGAACACCGGUGGCGAAGGCGGCCUUCUGGACAGUGACUGACGCUGAGGCGCGAAAGCGUGGGGAGCAAACAGG